ensembl:lncRNA
GCCACCUUCUCUCGUCAUGCCCCCCCAGCCCUAACCUCCUCCAGGAUCCUCCCCAUCUCUUCCUGCUUCCCUGGGUCCCCCGGGCCCCAGUUUCACCCCUGCCUUUUACUCCCACCCAUGCUGGGGAGUGGGGGGAUGGGGUGGUGGUCCCCUUCAACCUGCCCCACCCUAUAAGCUCCUUGAAGGCCAGAGGCCUGUGUUCCUUUGGAGGACCACUUCCAGCCCCCUCUGCUGGGCCCCUGGACAGAUACUGGAUUGGUAGGCUGUUGCCAUGGGAACCUCAAUCUCCUCCUCUCAUCUGUUCUGGGUCAUAGGUACUCCUGGUCCCUCCACACUUCACCUGCUCACAGAGGGUCUGGCAGGAAUCUGCAGGGCAGAGCCCCUUUGGAGAACUUCUUACCAGUCAGUACACUUACCUUUACUGGGCCUGAGAGGAGGCACCCAGCAGAGGCGAGUGUGUCCACUGAGGUCAUCACUGAGCCCUUCUCUGCAGUCAAAGUGAAAGGUCAUCAUGCAGGGCCCACGGGCAGAAACCUGAAGCCGUGCACUGUGGAGAGGGAGGCUCUGAGAUGAGGUCUGGAGGAGCGGCUUGCUGCAAGACAAAUCUUCCUCUGCUGCCACUGAGCAAUGACUUCACGCCUGGCUCCUUCUGCAGCGAUGCCUGCAGCGGUGGCCACAGGGGGGCAGCAGUGAGAGAGACAGGCUGGCUAAGGACGGGCUGGGAGGGAGAGAGGGGACCCCUGGAGCUGCCCUGGAACCAGAAC